rnacentral:snoRNA from 1 species
AUCCUUUUGUAACUCAUAAGUGUGAUGAUUGAGUGUUCAUGCUCAUGUGUGAGAUGUGCCUCCCUUAAACCUUGUUAUGAUAUUGGCACAUUACUUGUCUGACA